rnacentral:rRNA from 1 species
AAAUUGAAGAGUUUGAUCAUGGCUCAGAUUGAACGCUGGCGGCAGGCCUAACACAUGCAAGUCGAGCGGAAACGACACUAACAAUCCUUCGGGUGCGUUAAUGGGCGUCGAGCGGCGGACGGGUGAGUAAUGCCUAGGAAAUUGCCUUGAUGUGGGGGAUAACCAUUGGAAACGAUGGCUAAUACCGCAUGAUGCCUACGGGCCAAAGAGGGGGACCUUCGGGCCUCUCGCGUCAAGAUAUGCCUAGGUGGGAUUAGCUAGUUGGUGAGGUAAUGGCUCACCAAGGCGACGAUCCCUAGCUGGUCUGAGAGGAUGAUCAGCCACACUGGAACUGAGACACGGUCCAGACUCCUACGGGAGGCAGCAGUGGGGAAUAUUGCACAAUGGGCGAAAGCCUGAUGCAGCCAUGCCGCGUGUAUGAAGAAGGCCUUCGGGUUGUAAAGUACUUUCAGUUGUGAGGAAGGGUGUGUAGUUAAUAGCUGCGCAUCUUGACGUUAGCAACAGAAGAAGCACCGGCUAACUCCGUGCCAGCAGCCGCGGUAAUACGGAGGGUGCGAGCGUUAAUCGGAAUUACUGGGCGUAAAGCGCAUGCAGGUGGUUCAUUAAGUCAGAUGUGAAAGCCCGGGGCUCAACCUCGGAACUGCAUUUGAAACUGGUGAACUAGAGUACUGUAGAGGGGGGU